GAUGAACGCUGGCGGCAUGCCUAACACAUGCAAGUCGAUCGGUAAGGCUCUUCGGAGUACACGAGAGGCGGACGGCUGAGUAACGCGUAGGAACACACCCUGCAGUGAGGGAUAAGACACCGAAAGGUGUUCUAAUACCGCAUACGGUCUUCGGAUUAAAGCAUUUAUGCGCUGAAGGAGUGGCCUGCGUCAUAUUAGAUAGUUGGUGAGGUAAUGGCUCACCAAGUCGAUGAUGUGUAGCUGGUCUGAGAGGAUGAUCAGACAGACUGGAACUGAGACACGGUCCAGACUCCUACGGGAGGCAGCAGUGAGGAAUAUUUCACAAUGAGCGAAAGCUUGAUGGAGCAAUGCCGCGUGCAGGAUGAAGGCCCUCGGGUUGUAAACUGCUUUUAUAAGAGAAGAUUAUGACGGUAACUUAUGAAUAAGGGACGGCUAACUACGUG
rnacentral:rRNA from 1 species